ensembl:lncRNA
UAUGGGGUGCUGUGGGGCUCCCUAUGGGGCUGUAUGGGUCCCUGUGGGGCUCUAUGAGGCUCAAUAGGUCCCUGUGGGGCUCUAUGGGGCGCUGUGGGGCCGUAUGGGUCCCUGUGGGGCUCUAUGGGGUGCUGUGGGGCUCCCUAUGGGGCUGUAUGGGUCCCCGUGGGGCUCUAUGAGGCUCAAUAGGUCCCUAUGGGGCUCUAUGGGCUUCUGUGGGUCUCCCUGUGGGGCUCUAUGGGUCCCUAUGGGGCUAUAUGGGUCCCUGUGGGGCUCUAUGGGGUGCUGUGGGGCUCCCUAUGGGGCUGUAUGUGUCCCUGUGGGGCUCUAUGAGGCUCAAUAGGUCCCUGUGGGGCUCUAUGGGGCGCUGUGGGUCUCCCUGUGGGGCUCUAUGGGUCCCUGUGGGGCUCUAUGAGGCUCAAUAGGUCCCUGUGGGGCUCUAUGGGGCGCUGUGGGGCCGUAUGGGUCCCUGUGGGGCUCUAUGGGGUGCUGUGGGGAUCCCUAUGGGGCUCUGUGGGUCCCUGUGGGGCUCUAUGGGGUGCUGUGGGUCUCCCUGUGGGGCUCUGUGGGUCCCUGUGGGGCUCUAUGGGUCCCUGUGGGGCUCUAUGAGGCUCAAUAGGUCCCUAUGGGGCUCUAUGGGGCGCUGUGGGUCUCCCUGUGGGGCUGUAUGGGUCCCUGUGGGGCUCUAUGGGGUGCUGUGGGGCUCCCUAUGGGGCUGUAUAGGUCCCUGUGGGGCUCUGUGGGUCCUUGUGGGGCUCUAUGCGUCCCUGUGGGGCUCUGUGAGUCCUUAUGGGGCUCUGUGGGUCCCUGUGGGGCUCUCUGGGUCCCUAUGGGGUGCUGUGGGGCUCCCUAUGGGGCGCUGUGGGUCUCCCUGUGGGGCUCUAUGGGUCCCUGUGGGGCUCUAUGGGGUGCUGUGGGGCUCCCUAUGGGGCUCUAUGGGUCCCUGUGGGGCUCCCUAUGGGGCUGUAUGGGUCCCUGUGGGGCUCAAUGGGGCGCUGUGGGGCCGUAUGGGUCCCUGUGGGGCUCUAUGGGGUGCUGUGCGGAUCCCUAUGGGGCUGUAUGGAUCCCUGUGGGGCUCUAUGAGGCUCAAUAGGUCCCUAUGGGGCGCUGUGGGUCUCCCUGUGGGGCUCUAUGGGUCCCUAUGGGGCUCUAUGGGAUGCUGUGGGGCUGUAUGGGUCCCUGUGGGGCUGUAUGGGGUGCUGUGGGGAUCCCUAUGGGGCUGUAUGGGUCCCUGUGGGGCUCUAUGAGGCUCAAUAGAUCCCUAUGGGGCUCUAUGGGGCGCUGUGGGUCUCCCUGUGGGGCGCUGUGGGUCCCUAUGGGGCUCUAUGGGGUGCUGUGGGGCUCCCUAUGGGGUUGUAUGGGUCCCUAUGGAGCUCUGUGGGUCCUUGUGGGGCUCUAUGGAUCCCUAUGGGGCUCUGUGGGUCUCUGUGGGUCCUUAUGGGGCUCUGUGGGUCCCUAUGGGGCUCUAUGGGUCCCUAUGGGGCUCUGUGGCUCCUUAUGGGGCUCUGUGGGUCCCUGUGGGGCUCUCUGGGUCCCUAUGGAGCUCUGUGGGUCCUUGUGGGGCUCUAUGGAUCCCUAUGGGGCUCUGUGGGUCUCUGUGGGUCCUUAUGGGGCUCUGUGGGUCCCUAUGGGGCUCUAUGGGUCCCUAUGGGGCUCUGUGGCUCCUUAUGGGGCUCUGUGGGUCCCUGUGGGGCUCUGUGGGUCACUAUGGGGCUCUGUGGGUCCCUGUGGGGCUCUAUGGGUCCCCGUGGGGCUCUGUGGGGUCUAUGGGUCCCUAUGGGGCUCUGUGGGUCCCUGUGGGGCUCUAUGGGUCCUUAUGGGGCACUGUGGGUCCCCGUGGGUUCCUGUGGGGCUCUGUGGCUCCCUAUGGGGCUCUAUGGGUCCCUGUGGGGCUGUGUGGGUCCCUAUGGGUGCGUAUGGGGCGCUGUGGGGCAGCCCGGGGGUCGCGGCGCCCCCCAACUCACCGCAGGACGUAAAGGGAGAGCGGCUCCAGCAGCAGCUCUGCCCACUCCUGGGGGUCCCCAACGCUGCGCAGCCGCAUCACCGCCGCCGACAGCAGAGAGAGCCCCGCGAUGGUGCAGCCACAGAACUGGG